rnacentral:rRNA from 1 species
GUCCACGCCGUAAACGAUGGGCACUAGAUGCCGGGCCUAUAGACGGGUUCGGUGUCGCAGCUAACGCAUUAAGUGCCCCGCCUGGGGAGUACGGCCGCAAGGCUGAAACUCAAAGGAAUUGACGGGGGCCCGCACAAGCGGUGGAGCAUGUGGUUUAAUUCGAAGCAACGCGAAGAACCUUACCUAGGCUUGACAUACUGGUGAAACCCCGUGGAACACGGGGCCUCCUUCGGGGACACCAGUACAGGUGCUGCAUGGCUGUCGU